rnacentral:rRNA from 1 species
GUGCCAGCAGCCGCGGUAAUACCGGCAGCACAAGUGAUGGCCAAUCUUAUUGGGCCUAAAGCGUCCGUAGCUGGCCGCGCAAGUCCAUUGGGAAAUCCACCUGCCCAACAGGUGGGCGCCCGGUGGAAACUGUGCGGCUUGGGACCGGAAGGCGCGACGGGUACGUCCGGGGUAGGAGUGAAAUCCCGUAAUCCUGGACGGACCGCCGAUGGCGAAAGCACGUCGCGAGAACGGAUCCGACAGUGAGGGACGAAAGCCAGGGUCUCGAACCGGAUUAGAAACCCUUGUAGUCC